rnacentral:rRNA from 1 species
UGUAAGCGUAUACCAAAGUUGUUGCAGUUAAAACGCUCGUAGUCGGAAUUUGGCAGUUCCGGAUGUGUGCACGUCGUGUGCGCACUUCGCGGGGAUUGCUUUUGUGGUCUUGCGUAGGAUGAGGCACUUUUAUUAGUGAACGUCCUCACGCAACCACUUUUUACUGUGAGAAAAUCAGAGUGCUCGAAGCAGGCAUUUGCCGUGAAUGUAUUAGCAUGGAAUAAUAGAAUAGGACUUGGUUCUACUUUGUUGGUUUGUUGGGACUGAGUAAUGAUUAAGAGGGACAGUUGGGGGCAUUUGUAUUUCGGUGCUAGAGGUGAAAUUCUUAGAUUACCGAAAGACAAACUGCUGCGAAAGCGUCUGCCAAGGAUGUUUUCAUUGA